rnacentral:rRNA from 1 species
UCUCCUACGGGGGGCAGCAGUAGGGAAUCUUCCACAAUGGACGAAAGUCUGAUGGAGCAACGCCGCGUGAGUGAAGAAGGGUUUCGGCUCGUAAAGCUCUGUUGGUAGUGAAGAAAGAUAGAGGUAGUAACUGGCCUUUAUUUGACGGUAAUUACUUAGAAAGUCACGGCUAACUACGUGCCAGCAGCCGCGGUAAUACGUAGGUGGCAAGCGUUGUCCGGAUUUAUUGGGUGUAAAGCGAGUGCAGGCGGG